rnacentral:rRNA from 1 species
UACGUAGGGGGCGAGCGUUGUCCGGAUUAUUGGGCGUAAAGAGCUCGUAGGCGGUUCGAUAAGUCGGACGUGAAAUCUCCACGCUCAACGUGGAGGGGCCGUUCGAUACUGUCGUGACUCGAGUCCGGUAGGGGAGUGUGGAAUCCCGGUGUAGCGGUGAAAUGCGGCAGAGAUCGGGAGGAACACCCGUAGCGAAGGCGGCACUCUGGGCCGGUCUGACGCUGAGGAGCGAAAGCGUG